GCGGGGCAUGGUGUCGCAUACCUGUAAUCCCAGCUACUCGGGAGGCUGAAGUGGGAGGAUCACUUGAGCCCAGGAGUUUGAGGCUGCAGUGAGCCAUGAUCACACUACUCCCCUCCAGCCUGGGCAACACAGUGAGACCCCAUCUCUU
rfam:Gorilla gorilla gorilla genomic chromosome, chr8, whole genome shotgun sequence